rnacentral:rRNA from 1 species
GCGAAAACUUUACAAUGCUGGCAACAGCGAUAAGGGAACCUCGAGUGCCAGGUUACAAAUCUGGCUGUCGAGAUGCCUAAAAAGCAUUUCAUAGCAAGGGCCGGGCAAGACCGGUGCCAGCCGCCGCGGUAACACCGGCGGCUCGAGUGGUAACCGUUAUUAUUGGGUCUAAAGGGCCUGUAGCCGGCCGGAUAAGUCUCUUGAGAAAUCUGGCAGCUUAACUGUCAGGCUUUCAGGAGAUACUGUCUGGCUCGAGGCCGGGAGAGGUGAGAGGUACUUCAUGGGUAGGGGUGAAAUCUUGUAAUCCUUGAAGGACCACCAGUGGCGAAGGCGUCUCACGAGAACGGAGCUGACGGCAAGGGACGAAAGCUAGGGGCACGAACC